rnacentral:rRNA from 1 species
AAAUGAAUAGACGGGGACCCGCACAAGCGGUGGAGCAUGUGGUUUAAUUCGACGCAACGCGAAGAACCUUACCAGGGCUUGACAUCCCUCGCCAGGCUAGGAAACUAGCUGUUCUGAGCUUCGGUUCAGACGAGGAGACAGGUGGUGCAUGGUUGUCGUCAGCUCGUGUCGUGAGAUGUUGGGUUAAGUCCCGCAACGAGCGCAACCCCUACUUUUAGUUGCCAUCAUUAAGUUGGGCACUCUAGAGGAACUGCCGGUGACAAACCGGAGGAAGGUGGGGAUGACGUCAAAUCAUCAUGCCCUUUAUGUCCUGGGCUACACACGUGCUACAAUGGUCGGUACAAAGGGUUGCGAAAUCGCAAGAUGGAGCCAAUCUCAAAAAGCCGGUCUCAGUUCGGAUUGCAGUCUGCAACUCGACUGCAUGAAGUCGGAAUCGCUAGUAAUCGCGAGUCAGCAUAUCGCGGUGAAUACGUUCCCGGGUCUUGCACACACCGCCCGU